AUCUGGGCGGCGGAAUUCAGGAUGGCGUGCGUGUCUUCGCGGGCGCGUUCGUCGUUUGAUAUUUCCGUCGUCGACGCAGACGUCGCGACCUGUUCGCGGUCGGUCCUUGCUUCGGAGGGGUCGCGUUCGAGCUCGUUGUGGGCGCGUUUCGGCGCGUCUAACGGCGAAGGCGCGUAUCCCUGGCUGGCCGUCGGACAGUACGUUCAGCGGUGUCCGGUGUCGUCGUAUUCGUACGCGCGCGCACCGGUACCGGUCGGCGACGAAUUCUUCGGGCCUCUUUCCGACCCGUCUUGAAACACGGACCAAGGAGUCUAACAUGCGCGCGAGUCGCGGGGUGUCGAGCGUACUUCGGUGCGCUCGUUACAUUUACGAAACCCGUACAUGUUGAAGGCGUAAUGAAAGUGAAUGGGGAAGAUGGUGUUUCCGAGUACACGUUCCGCAGUCCUCCGAUACCGCGGCCGGACACCCGCAUUCCCGGGGCGUCUCAACGGCCCGUCGCAAACGCGGAUCGUCGUCUCUCGGGGCGGCGGUCGGUCCGCGACGAACCGA
rnacentral:rRNA from 1 species